rnacentral:rRNA from 1 species
GGGAGCCUGAGAAACGGCUACCACAUCCAAGGAAGGCAGCAGGCGCGCAAAUUACCCACUCCCGGCACGGGGAGGUAGUGACGAAAAAUAACGAUACGGGACUCAUCCGAGGCCCCGUAAUCGGAAUGAGAACACUUUAAAUCUUUUAACGAGUACCUAAUGGAGGGCAAGUCUGGUGCCAGCAGCCGCGGUAAUUCCAGCUCCAUUGGCGUAUAUUAAAGUUGUUGCGGUUAAAAAGCUCGUAGUUGGAUCUGUGUAUCGGACAGCCGGUUCGCCGCUCGCGGCGUUCAACUGGUUAGUUCGGACGUCCUGCCGGUGGGCGUCUCGCGCAAGCGGGGCGCCCGUAGUACCCUCCGGGCUGCUCUUAACCGGGUGGCUCGGUGGGCCGGCACGUUUACUUUGAACAAAUUUGAGUGCUCAAAGCAGGCCUUUGGUUGCCUGAAAACUGUGUGCAUGGAAUAAUGGAAUAGGGCCUCGGUUCUAUUUUGUUGGCUUUUCUGAACUUGAGGUAAUGAUUAAUAGGGACAGACGGGGGCAUUCGUAUUGCGACGUUAGAGGUGAAAUUCUUGGAUCGUCGCAAGACGAACGGAUGCGAAAGCGUUUGCCAAGAAUGUUUUCGCUAAUCAAGAACGAAAGUUAGAGGUUCGAAGGCGAUCAGAUACCGCCCUAGUUCUAACCAUAAACGAUGCCAGCCAGCGAUGCGCCGAAGUUCCUCCGAUGACUCGGCGCGCAGCUUCCGGGAAACCAAAGCUUUUGGGUUCCGGGGGAAGUAUGGUUGCAAAGCUGAAACUUAAAGGAAUUGACGGAAGGGCACCACCAGGAGUGGAGCCUGCGGCUUAAUUUGACCCAACACGGGAAACCUCACCAGGCCCGGACAUCGGAAGGAUUGACAGAUUGAGAGCUCUUUCUUGAUUCGAUGGGUGGUGGUGCAUGGCCGUUCUUAGUUGGUGGAGCGAUUUGUCUGGUUAAUUCCGAUAACGAACGAGACUCUAACCUGCUAAAUAGGCGCGGGGAUCUUUACGCUCCCCGCGUAGCAAUCUUCUUAGAGGGACAGGCGGCUUCUAGCCGCACGAGAUUGAGCAAUA